rnacentral:rRNA from 1 species
UACGUAGGGUGCAAGCGUUAAUCGGAAUUACUGGGCGUAAAGCGUGCGCAGGCGGUUUUGUAAGUCUGUCGUGAAAGCCCCGGGCUCAACCUGGGAAUUGCGAUGGAGACUGCAAGGCUUGAAUCUGGCAGAGGGGGGUAGAAUUCCACGUGUAGCAGUGAAAUGCGUAGAGAUGUGGAGGAACACCGAUGGCGAAGGCAGCCCCCUGGGUC